GUGAAUUAACUGAUCUGUUCAUUGUGGGAGAAAUGGCCAAUGUUUCUGUUCUUCCUUGAAGGGUCAAGAGGGGAGGCGCCCAAAUAUUCCAGGGCCCAGCGGGAAGAAAGGUGAGCGAGGUCCACCUGGAGUAACAGGGCAGAAAGGAAUAAAGUUGUACUUAGACAAACCCAGAGACCUGAAGGGGGAACCAGGAAAUCCAGGAGAUCAAGGCUGUCCUGGGGAGCCUGUCAGUAAUGUUAUUCUGAUGCAGCUGAACCCUUCUUAUGCUUUGUAGACAAUUGUUUUACCCAUGUAAUUUAGUAGAAUUUUGAGUCACAAACUAUUUUUGUCCACUUUUACACAGUUUUGUGCUUGUCAGUUUGUAUUUUUGAUCUCUCUGUGACUUCCAAUCUGUAUAGGGUUGUGCUGGAGGAUCUGGACUGAAGGGAAGGAAAGGUGAUCAGGGGGAAUGUGGUCUUGAGGUAUUAUAUUUAUCCUUUUUUUGUUUUAUGGCAAUUGAUAGAAUCAAAGUUACAUAAA
rnacentral:lncRNA from 1 species